UAGGGAAUCUUCCACAAUGGACGCAAGUCUGAUGGAGCAACGCCGCGUGAGUGAAGAAGGUUUUCGGAUCGUAAAGCUCUGUUGUUGGUGAAGAAGGAUAGAGGCAGUAACUGGUCUUUAUUUGACGGUAAUCAACCAGAAAGUCACGGCUAACUACGUGCCAGCAGCCGCGGUAAUACGUAGGUGGCAAGCGUUGUCCGGAUUUAUUGGGCGUAAAGCGAGCACAGGCGGAAUGAUAAGUCUGAUGUGAAAGCCCACGGCUCAACCGUGGAACUGCAUCGGAAACUGUCAUUCUUGAGUGCAGAAGAGGAGAGUGGAAUUCCAUGUGUAGCGGUGGAAUGCGUAGAUAUAUGGAAGAACACCAGUGGCGAAGGAGGCUCUCUGGUCUGCAACUGACGCUGAGGCUCGAAAGCAUGGGUAGCGAACAGG
rnacentral:rRNA from 1 species